ensembl:lncRNA novel transcript
AGAGUCUUCCUUUUGCCUCAAGAGUCUGUCUGGUGGCUGGCUCGCAGCUAGCUUCUGCACAAUCCCCUCACUCUGACCCUGCAUCUUCAAUGCCGCCAUUCUGCCAAACCGCUGCUACUUCUGGGUGAAAACCUAGUUCUAGCUCCCUCCAGAGUUAGCUGGUUUGGCUAUUUGAAAGCUACUCCUUCAAUGAACCGUUCUUUGUCAUUUCAGAAAUGAACCCUGCUUUCCAGCAUUUGGGCUGGACAGGGUUCUCCAGGCUUGCUAACUACAGCAGCUGUUUUCUGUCCCCAGUAAGAGCCAGGGUGACAUACCUACCUGCCCAGAGCCACCCUUGACAGGAGACUCAGGGAGAAGUGCCCCCAGGACCAAAGCACCUGCCCAGCCCACUGGAAGAAGGAAGCUUACAAUUCUGUAUGCUUGGAACCCACCAAAGCCUGAGGCCUCACUGGCACCCAGCCAUCCACAGGAGUUAGCAGCUGUUUGAGUCCAGAAGGAAGAACUUUUGGAGUCGGAGACAAAUAAUGUUCACCACUCCACUUCCUUGUUCCUUCACACCUGCUACUUUGGAUUCAGACGAGAAGUUCCAAGAAUCCCUGAGUCCACAGCAUGACUCUGGUUUGCAGAACCUCUGUCCAGACCAGCCAGAUCAGAAUACAAAGGAAAGUGACACAUCCUGGAUCUCAACCCACUUCGAUGGGAAGUCUUCCUGAUAAAUUUAGAGAUAACCUAAAGCCCUUGGGGACUUCCUCUUGAUUUGAAUCUGCUGAACACCUGCCGCACCCCCACCGCACCCCCCCCCCCCGCCCCCCGCCACCGCAGAUGAAAACAUCAACUCUGCAGAAUUAAUGGAUAUGGGAAUCACCUGGGGACCUCUCAUUAAAUUGCAAAUUAUGAUUCAGAGGGUCUGGGGAGGGACAGAGACUCUGCAUUUCUAACAAGCUCUCCGGUGGUGCCCACGCAUCACCGGGGCCGGAGAACCUUCCAUCAUUCCAGCAAUGCUCACCAUCACUGCCAUUCUUGCUCUUCUUUCUGGGGCCGUUGCCCAUUUUCUCCAUGGUAUCCUUCUUUUUUCCUAUUCUUUUCCUCUUUUAAUCCUUUUUUUCUUCCCAGCCAACUCACUAUUCCUAUAUCCCUGCUAACCCUCAAUGCUCCUUCACUCAAAGAUGAAGAAACUCCUGCCCUUUCUUCCUCCAGACAUUCAUCUCCCUCCCUCCCUCCUCUCCUCAGCUUUGUAGUGCCAGGAAAAGAAAGAUCACCAUUUACUGACAAUUUUGUGUGAAGCACUGUCCCAAGUGCAUUACCCAUAUUACUUAACUCUCACAACAACCCUGCAAAGUACACAUUAUUUCUGCCAUUUUAGACAUGAGAAAAUUGGGACUUGGGGUGGUUAAAGAAAUCUUGUCCUCAACCAGGAAGUAGUGAUCUGAGAUUAGAAUUUAGAUCUGUCUGAGGCCAAAGUCUACAACUUCUAUACUGCACCAUGCUCAUAUAAGGUGAACAAUCUAGAAGGCAGCUGGUAGGAGUGGCUUCAGUAAAAAGGAAUGGAAUACCACGAGCUUCACCCCAUUUAUGCAUCCUGAACCCUUCACUCCACUUUUGUUAAGUACAUGCCCUAUGAGACGGUUUGACAUACCAAUAAUGAGAGCUGUUUCAAGAAUGCCCAGAUUAGCUAGGAUGGUUGGGACCUAAAUAGCACAGUAGUAAUAUUAAAGCCCAAAGUUGCCAAUAUGCUCAAUUUUCAAUGUAACCUUUUAUUAUAAAUUAAGACCCAUAACUGUACACACAGAGUCUGUUACCAAAAAAGAAAUUCCUUCCAUUGGCCAAUUAUUCAACCACAUGAAGUCUACUAAAGGAUGAUGCCAAGCCACCCAUCAGUCCACACAGGAUCCAUCAUGGAUGGAUAGCCAGUUCCUUUUUCUCUCUCUAGUUUCUCUUCCUUGAUUCCACCUCUAGGAUCCCCUCGCUCUCUUAUUGUCCUUUGCCUUGUCCUCAAGAUCCUACCAAGAGUCCUGGCUUCCCACCUGGGAGCAUGUACCAGUUCUCCAAACCUUUGUGUGUUUCUGAUUCCUCAGACUACCGCAUCUACAAACUAGGAAACUGUACUCUUGCUUAUACUGGCCCUCUCCCUCCCUUGACUUUUAUUAGAUACAUCAAAACAAAACAAAAAACUCCUUUUAAAUUCUGUUAAAGAUCCUGCAAGGUAUGAAGGGAGGAGAAAAGGCAGGGGCUGGGUAUGAGGAAAAGUCCAUCUUGACAUACAAAAAUGUUAAAAGUCUAUAUACUCAAAGGAGAAGUGAAGAGUCAGACUUUUACAUGUGGAACAGACAGGAAAACUGGGAGCAAUAUGGUGUAGUCAUCAGAUGUGGGUUCUAAAUUCAUCUCAGCUACCAACCAGCAGUGCAACCUUGGAUAAGCUGUGUAUUUUUCUCAAUACCAGUUUCUUCAUCUUUAAAGUGUGGAGAUUGGAUUGAACAAUUACUAAGAUUCCUUUGUUCUCUACUCUGCAGUGUCAUCUCUAGCACCUAAAAUAAAAUAAACCAGAAAUUAAUGAAAGA